AUUGAACGCUAGCGGCAUGCCUAACACAUGCAAGUCGAACGAGUGGCGGACGGGUGAGUAAUGUAUGGGAAAGUGCCUGAUGGAGGGGGAUAACUACUGGAAAGAGUAGCUAAUACCGCAUACCAUCGGAUGUGCCCAUAUGGGAUUAGCUAGUAGGUGGGGUAAAGGCUCACCAAGGCAACGAUCCCUAGCUGGUUUGAGAGGACGACCAUCCACACUGGGACUGAGACACGGCCCAGACUCCUACGGGAGGCAGCAGUGGGGAAUAUUGGACAAUGGGGGAAAGCCUGAUGCAGCCAUCCCGCGUGUAUGAUGAAGGCCUUCGGGUUGUAAAGUACUUUUAGCGGGGAGGCGGUAACUGCAGAAUAAGCACCGGCUAACUACGUGCCAGCAGCCGCGGUAAUAC
rnacentral:rRNA from 1 species